UACGAACCGUCCAAACGUUACUCGGAAUCACUGGGCUUAAAGGGUGCGUAGGCCGCGCGGCGGGUGGGAUGUGAAAUCCCCCGGCUUAACCGGGGAACGGGCGGCGAUACGACCGUCCUGGAGGGGCGUAGGGGGACCUGGAACUUCCGGUGGAGCGGUGAAAUGCGUUGAGAUCGGAAGGAACGCCCGUGGCGAAAGCGAGGUCCUGGACGCCUACUGACGCUGAGACGCGAAAGCCAGGGGAGCGAACGGG
rnacentral:rRNA from 1 species